ensembl:processed_transcript BC006965 cDNA sequence BC006965
AUUCAAUGUCUGGAGCACGCGUCGGCCACUCCACCUCGGGCGCUCUGAAGCCGGCCGCAUGGAGACUGGGGGACGGUGGUAGGAUGGUCCUAGACCCCUUCCCUCUGUUUCUGCAACCUUGGUGAAUUGAAAAGGGAUCAAUAUCCUUUAUCUGCUCUACCAUACCAGAUGGCCAAGGGACAGUGGAAAAAUGGCAGGGCAGACCCCCUUGGAUUUGCCCACGUGGAGUUUGGAUAUUUACCUGGCUUCUUUGUCAAGUCUUGGGCCUGAUGCAGGUUGCAGACGUAUGGCCACCGGUUCAUGUAGUCAACAGGUCAGGGGGGCUGUUGCCACCGAAGGAAGGGGGAUAGUGCUGACAAGACUGAUGGUAAUGAUGACAUCUAACGUACAUGGAGCAGCUCUAUCUGCCAGACACUAAGAGGAGAAUGAAGAGAAGGAGGCAGGAUGUGUCAAUGUCCGAUGGACCACCUUACCAUCUGGGGAAGAGGGAUGCCUCUAGUGAGAUGAGAAGGGGAAGAGCAAAAUCCCAAGUCCAAAGGACAUCGUGGAGGAAGGGAUUCUACUGGAGAGGCUCCACGUGGCUCAUCCCUUACAAGGAGAAUUGUGUUGCUGCAGAUGGCGAGCUGGCUCAGUGGGGGAAGAUGCUAGCCAUCAAGCCCCAUGACCUCAGUUUGAUUCC